CCAUUGCUCAGUUGGUAGAGCACAAGACUCUUAACCUUGUGGUCGUGGGUUCAAGCCCCACGAUGGG
rnacentral:tRNA from 1 species